GAGGGAGGGUGAGAGAGGGAGAAAUGAAGAGACUCUCAGAGCAUCUUUCCUCCUGGUAGAGCAAGGGUGAGAGAGGGAGAAAUGGUGUGAGGGUGAGAGAGAGGGAGGGAGGGUGAGAGAGAGGGAGGGAGGGUGAGAGAGAGGGAGGGAGGGUGAGAGAGAGGGAGGGAGGGUGAGAGAGAGGGAGAGAGGGAGGGAGGGUGAGAGGGAGGGAGGGAGGGAGGGUGAGAGAGAGGGAGGGAGGGUGAGAGAGGGAGAAAUGAAGAGACUCAGAGAGCCUUUCCUCCUGGGGGAUUGGUUUGGAGUUGGACGUCUGGGGAAACAUCUCAAAUGGUUCCCUAUUCCCUUUAUAGUGCACUACAUUAGGUCCUGGUUAAUGGGAUUAGUGCACUACAUUAGGUCCUGGUCAAUGGGAUUAGUGCACUACAUUAGGUCCUGGUUAAUGGGAUUAGUGCACUACAUUAGGUCCUGGUUAAUGGGAUUAGUGCACUACAUUAGGUCCUGGUCAAUGGGAUUAGUGCACUACAUUAGGUCCUGGUCAAUGGGAUUAGUGCACUACAUUAGGUCCUGGUUAAUGGGAUUAGUGCACUACAUUAGGUCCCGGUCAAUGGGAUUAGUGCACUACAUUAGGGCCUGGUCAAUGGGAUUAGUGCACUACAUUAGGUCCUGGUCAAUGGGAUUAGUGCACUACAUUAGGUCCUGGUUAAUGGGAUUAGUGCACUACAUUAGGUCCUGGUUAAUGGGAUUAGUGCACUACAUUAGGUCCUGGUUAAUGGGAUUAGUGCACUACAUUAGGUCCUGGUUAAUGGGAUUAGUGCACUACAUUAGGUCCUGGUUAAUGGGAUUAGUGCACUACAUUAGGUCCUGGUUAAUGGGAUUAGUGCACUGCAUUAGGUCCUGGUUAAUGGGAUUAGUGCACUACAUUAGGUCCUGGUUAAUGGGAUUAGUGCACUACAUUAGGUCCUGGUUAAUGGGAUUAGUGCACUACAUUAGGUCCUGGUUAAUGGGAUUAGUGCACUACAUUAGGUCCUGGUUAAUGGGAUUAGUGCACUACAUUAGGUCCUGGUCAAUGGGAUUAGUGCACUACAUUAGGUCCUGGUUAAUGGGAUUAGUGCACUACAUUAGGUCCUGGUUAAUGGGAUUAGUGCACUACAUUAGGUCCUGGUUAAUGGGAUUAGUGCACUACAUUAGGUCCCGGUCAAUGGGAUUAGUGCACUACAUUAGGUCCUGGUUAAUGGGAUUAGUGCACUACAUUAGGUCCUGGUUAAUGGGAUUAGUGCACUACAUUAGGUCCCGGUCAAUGGGAUUAGUGCACUUAGGAAGGGAAUAGUGUUCGAUUUGGGACGUAUCCCGAGUGUGUUGAGCUCAGAGGAGACCCCAGGACGUCCUGAAUGGAACCCUAUCCAGUCCUGCACUACGUCUGACCAGAUGCCCCAUAAGGGGCUAGUGCACUUAGGGGAAUAUAGUGCUAUUUGGGAUACACGAACCGUGUCUUCGAUUCUACUGCCAAAAUCAUUGUAAUAUAAGCAUGAAGAAAAAAAAUUUUUUUUUUUAUGGAAUUAAAAACUGGAUAAAAUACAAUGUAUGUUGCUUGAAUUUGACAGUUUAUAUUUAAAUAGAGCAAUGCGUCUCCCGAGACAUUUCAAUGAGAGGGAAAACUGUCGCCGAGGAGUCGUCCCAAAUAGCACUACUUUCGAGUGACUCUUUUUUUGGGGGGGGUGCACUCGAUGGUCAUUUUUCACAGCAAUGAAUGUAUUAGCUGAUUAACAUGUAUGUGUAAUUGCUGGUGACGGUAUGCUCUUGGCUAUUAUGGGAUGGGUAGUGGCUUAAGCUCAAGGUACGCUGUGCGAUAUGACGUUGUCGUGCACCGGGGGGGGGGGGGGCGCGAACUUCCUGUUUUAAAGACAACGACAAUUAUAAUCUUCCAAGAUUGAGGCUGUGAUUCAAUCUGAUCGCAGGUUGUAGGCAAAUGUCCCAGCGUUUCGCAGAGAUCCCAUUCACAGUCAACGAGGCUCAGUCAGAAAUGUGCCUUUUUUAAAAGGCCUCAAAGCCUACAUCCCACGAUCAGAUUCAAUCCCGGCCUGAUUCUUCCAAAAGUAGAACUCCUGGCAGAAUUGUAUUUUGUUUGUUGUGAUUUGUUGUUGUUGUCUGUAAACAGGAAGUUACCCUGCUAUGUUUGAUGAUGUCACAAUGCUGAGACUUCCGUUUGAUCUCCCACCAAAUGGGCGGGAAAGGAAAAAUAAGGACAUUCGCACACUUGCUAAACAUUAUCUACAUCCCGUACAGCACCCUACUCCCUACAUAGUGCACUACGUUUGACCAGGACCAAAAGGGAUAAAGUAGUGCACUACGUUUGACCAGGGCCUAUAGGGAUAAAGUAGUGCACUACGUUUGACCAGGGCCUAUAGGGAUAAAGUAGUGCACUACUUUUGGCCAGGGCCUAUAAGGGACAAAGUAGUGCACUACUUUUGGCCAGGACCUAUAAGGGACAAAGUAGUGCACUACUUUUGGCCAGGGCCUAUAAGGGACAAAGUAGUGCACUACUUUUGGCCAGGGCCUAUAAGGGACAAAGUAGUGCACUACUUUUGGCCAGGGCCUAUAAGGGACAAAGUAGUGCACUACUUUUGGCCAGGGCCUAUAAGGGACAAAGUAGUGCACUACUUUUGGCCAGGGCCUAAGGGACAAAGUAGUGCACUACUUUUGGCCAGGGCCUAUAAGGGACAAAGUAGUGCACUACUUUUGGCCAGGGCCUAUAAGGGACAAAGUAGUGCACUACUUUUGGCCAGGGCCUAUAAGGGACAAAGUAGUGCACUACUUUUGGCCAGGGCCUAUAAUGGACAAGGUAGUGCACUACUUUUGGCCAGGGCCUAUAAUGGACAAGGUAGUGCACUACUUUUGGCCAGGGCCUAUAAUGGACAAGGUAGUGCACUACUUUUGGCCAGGGCCUGUAAGGGACAAGGUAGUGCACUACUUUUGGCCAUGGCCUGUAAUUGACAAGGUAGUGCACUACUUUUGGCCAGGGCCUGUAAGGGACAAGGUAGUGCACUACUUUUGGCCAGGGCCUGUAAGGGACAAGGUAGUGCACUACUUUUGGCCAGGGCCUGUAAGGGACAAGGUAGUGCACUACUUUUGGCCAGGGCCUGUAAGGGACAAAGUAGUGCACUACUUUUGGCCAGGGCCUGUAAGGGACAAAGUAGUGCACUACUUUUGGCCAGGGCCUGUAAGGGACAAAGUAGUGCACUACUUUUGGCCAGGGCCUGUAAGGGACAAAGUAGUGCACUUUUCUUGGAUAAAAGUAGUGAACUAUAUAGGGAAUAUGGUGCCGUUCUUCAUAAUUUAUGCAUCUUGAAUUUUCUAUUCCCGCUGUAUAAUGAAUGUAAAGGUAGAAUUGUAUUUUUUUUAAAUGUUGGAAACAAUAAAUGUAAAUUUGGGAUUGGUUUAAA